rnacentral:rRNA from 1 species
AUGCAGUUGCAACUCCAUCUGCCCAACAUGCACAUGGUGUCAUUCAGAAAGGGCCAAGAUAUCGAACGAGUGGUUAGCCAGGAAGGUGCUGAGAAGUCAAUGCUUACAGAGUACUUUGAGGCAAAUAGGUUACAUGAGGAGGCUCGGUCUAUCUUGUAUAGGGACUUCCCUGAGUGGUAUACCUGGCAGAAAAGUAAGAAAAAUAAAUACUGGAGAAGAAGGGAACGAGAUACAGGUGGACAAGUUGAAAGAAUUGUGGCAGCUCAUCCCGCGGAGGGUGAACGCUAUUACCUACGGGUCCUCUUAAACCAUGUCACUGGCGCCACAUCCUAUGAGGACCUAAGGACAGUUAAUGGUGAGAUCCUACCAACAUUUCGUGAAGCUGCAGAGAGAAGGGGAUUGAUCGAAGGAGACAACACACUUGAUGAGUCCCUUACUGAAUCUACGUUAUACGAGAUGCCAUCAUCUCUACGAAGGCUCUUUGCAACAAUAUUGGUAUUCUGUGAGCCAAGUAAUGUGCGUGGACUCUGGGAGAAGCACCUGGAGGCAAUGUCAGAAGACUAUCGCCGCAACAAUCCAUCCAAAGUUGCAGUUGAGCAAAUGGUUCUGAUAGAUAUCAGGAAUAUGCUACAAUCAAUGGGAAAGGACAUAGAGUCAUUCCCUCUUCCUGGUAUCAAUGAAGAAUAUGACACUACUUCCAGCAUGCCAAGGGAGAUCUUCGAGGAAUCCACCAUUGAGCUCAAUGUUGAUGACACAAAUCUAUCAGACUCACUUAAUUCAGAUCAGAGGAAAGCCUAUGAUGAAAUUAUGUAUGUUGUUGACAGUGAUGAGGGUGGCGUAUUGUUUGUGGAUGGGCCUGGAGGCACCGGGAAGACUUAUCUAUAUAGGGCACUUCUUGCAAAAGUCCGUGGACAGAAAAAGAUUGCAGUAGCAACAGCCACGUCCGGCGUUGCAGCUACCAUAAUGCCCGGAGGGAGAACAGCUCAUUCACGGUUCAAGAUACCGCUAAGCAUUGACGAUGGUGGGUUUUGUAGCUUCACUAAACAGAGUGGAACUGCCAAGCUCUUACAGCCAGCUUCCCUCAUUAUAUGGGAUGAGGCUUCGAUGACAAAGAGGCAGGCAGUGGAGGCGCUAGACAAUAGUAUGCGCGAUAUAAUGAGCCGACCAGACCGACCAUUCGAUGGAAAGACAGUUGUAUUCUGUGGAUAUUUCAGGCAAGUCCUCCCUAUUGUCCGUAAGGGGUCAAGGGCUCAGAUAAUUGAUUCUUCACUGCGUAGGUCUUACCUUUGGGAUUGCAUGCGCCACCUAAAGUUGGUACGCAAUAUGAGGGCACAUAGCGACCCGUGGUUUGCUGAAUACUUGUUGCGCAUUGGUGAUGGCAAGGAGGAGACCAAUAAUGAUGGUUGUGUCCGCCUUCCGGACGAGAUAUGUGUGCCCUGUACUGGGAAGGGCACUAAUCUUGAUACACUGAUAGAUAAUGUUUUUCCCAGCCUCGGUGCUAAUAUGUCUGAUCCAAACUACAUCACCUCCAGAGCAAUCUUAUCGAUGCGAAAUGAUUGUGUGGAUAGGAUAAAUAUAAAGAUGAUCAACCGAUUCCACGGAGAUGAGAUGGUGUAUCAUAGCUUUGAUUCAACAGUCGAUGACCCUCAUAACUAUUAUCCAUCUGAGUUCCUUAACACUUUGACCCCUAAUGGGUUGCCUCCACAUGUGUUGAAGCUCAAGAUAAACUGCCCUAUUAUAUUGCUCAGAAAUAUUGACCCCGCAAAUGGACUUUGCAAUAGCACGAGGCUGGUGGUUCGAGGAUUCCAGAGGAAUGUCAUCGAUGCAGAAAUUGUGCUAGGACCCCCCCUUUGUCCCAGUGAUGACGAGAUGUUCCCUUUCCAGUUCAAGAGGAAGCAGUUUCCUAUUAGGCUCAGCUUUGCCAUGACGGUCAACAAGGCACAGGGGCAGACUAUCCCGAACGCGGGUAUAUACUUGCCCGAGUCAGUGUUCUCAUGGGCAGUUGUAUGUCGCGCUAUCUAG